rnacentral:rRNA from 1 species
UACGGAGGGUGCAAGCGUUGUCCGGAAUUACUGGGCGUAAAGGGCUCGUAGGCGGCCAACUAAGUCAGACGUGAAAUCCCUCAGCUUAACUGGGGAACUGCGUCUGAUACUGGAUGGCUUGGAUUUGGGAGAGGAAUGCGGAAUUCCAGGUGUAGCGGUGAAAUGCGUAGAUAUCUGGAGGAACACCGGUGGUGAAGGCGGCAUUCUGGACCAAUAUUGACGCUGAGGAGCGAAAGCCAGGGGAGCAAACGGG